GGAGAGGUGUCCGAGCGGCCGAAGGUGACAGACUCGAAAUCUGUUGUGGGGCAACCCACCGUGGGUUCAAAUCCCACCCUCUCCGCCA
rnacentral:tRNA from 1 species